rnacentral:rRNA from 1 species
AGCGAACGCUGGCGGCAGGCCUAACACAUGCAAGUCGAACGAACUCUUCGGAGUUAGUGGCGGACGGGUGAGUAACACGUGGGAACGUGCCUUUUGGUUCGGAAUAACUCAGGGAAACUUGUGCUAAUACCGAAUGUGCCCUUCGGGGGAAAGAUUUAUCGCCAUUAGAGCGGCCCGCGUCUGAUUAGCUAGUUGGUGAGGUAACGCCUCACCAAGGCGACGAUCAGUAGCUGGUCUGAGAGGAUGACCAGCCACACUGGGACUGAGACACGGCCCAGACUCCUACGGGAGGCAGCAGUGGGGAAUCUUGCGCAAUGGGCGAAAGCCUGACGCAGCCAUGCCGCGUGAAUGAUGAAGGUCUUAGGAUUGUAAAAUUCUUUCACCGGGGACGAUAAUGACGGUACCCGGAGAAGAAGCCCCGGCUAACUUCGUG